rnacentral:rRNA from 1 species
AUUGAACGCUGGCGGCAUGCCUUACACGUGCAAGUCGAGCGGUAACAGGUUAAGCUGACGAGUGGCGAACGGGUGAGUAAUACAUCGGAACGUGCCCAGACGUGGGGGAUAGCUCGGCGAAAGCCGGAUUAAUACCGCAUAAGCUCUGAGGAGGAAAGCGGGGGACCGUAAGGCCUCGCGCGUUUGGAGCGGCCGAUGGCAGAUUAGGUAGUUGGUGGGGUAAAGGCUUACCAAGCCUACGAUCUGUAGCUGGUCUGAGAGGACGACCAGCCACACUGGGACUGAGACACGGCCCAGACUCCUACGGGAGGCAGCAGUGGGGAAUUUUGGACAAUGGGCGCAAGCCUGAUCCAGCAAUGCCGCGUGCAGGAUGAAGGCCUUCGGGUUGUAAACUGCUUUUGUACGGAACGAAAAGGCGCCUACUAAUACUGGGUGUUGAUGACGGUACCGUAAGAAUAAGCACCGGCUAACUACGUGCCAGCAGCCGCAGUAA